UACGUAGGGGUGCAAGCGUUUAAUCGGAAUUACUGGGCGUAAAGCGUGCGCAGGCGGUUGUGCAAGAUAGAUGUGAAAUCCCCGGGCUCAACCUGGGAAUUGCAUUUGUGACUGCACGGCUAGAGUGUGUCAGGAGGGGGGUAGAAUUCCACGUGUAGCAGUGAAAUGCGUAGAGAUGUGGAGGAAUACCGAUGGCGAAGGCAGCCCCCUGGGAUAACACUGACGCUCAUGCACGAAAGCGUGGGGAGCAAACAGG
rnacentral:rRNA from 1 species